rnacentral:lncRNA from 1 species
CUAACCAACCAAUUUGGGGAGAUGCGAGAAUUGUUGUUGCAAGCUCUUGGUGGCAACAAUAUAAGAGGUGGCAGAGAUGACGAAAGAAGAGAAGGCAAGGAAGACAAUCGAAGAGAAGGUAGAGAUGGUGAGAGAAGAGAUAAUAGGAGGCAACAUAUUCCGGAUAGCGAGUCAGAGUCAGAAGAAGAACAUGAGGAACCAC